GUCUAUGGCCAUGCCACCCUGAAGAAGCCCAAUGACUGAUCUCCAAAGCUAAGCAGUGUGGGGCCUGUUUAGUACUUGGAUGGGAGACCACCUAGGAAGACGAGAUGCUGUAGGCA
rnacentral:rRNA from 1 species